AGCAGCCGCGGUAAUUCCAGCUCCAAUAGCGUAUAUUAAAGUUGUUGCAGUUAAAAAGCUCGUAGUUGAACUUCGGGGUUUACUCAUUGGUCAGGCUUAAUUGUCUGUACUGGUGAGAUAAAUCUCUACCUUCUGAGGAACUUUCAUGCCAUUUAUUUGGUGUGAUUGGAAAUCAGGACUAUUACUUUGAAAAAUUAGAGUGUUUAAAGCAGGCUAACGUCUGAAUAUAUUAGCAUGGAAUAAUGAAAUAGGACGGCUUGGUUCUAUUUCGUUGGUUUCUAGGAUCACCGUAAUGAUUAAUAGGGAUAGUUGGGGGCAUUAGUAUUCAAUUGUCAGAGGUGAAAUUCUUGGAUUUAUUGAAGACUAACUACUGCGAAAGCAUUUGCCAAGGAUGUUUUCAUUAAUCAAGAACGAAAGUUAGGGGAUCGAAGACGAUCAGAUACCGUCGUA
rnacentral:rRNA from 1 species